rnacentral:rRNA from 1 species
AGUGAACGCUGGCGGUAGGCCUAACACAUGCAAGUCGAACGGCAGCACAGUAAGAGCUUGCUCUUACGGGUGGCGAGUGGCGGACGGGUGAGGAAUACAUCGGAAUCUACUUUUUCGUGGGGGAUAACGUAGGGAAACUUACGCUAAUACCGCAUACGACCUACGGGUGAAAGCAGGGGAUCUUCGGACCUUGCGCGAUUGAAUUAGCCGAUGUCGGAUUAGCUAGUUGGCGGGGUAAAGGCCCACCAAGGCGACGAUCCGUAGCUGGUCUGAGAGGAUGAUCAGCCACACUGGAACUGAGACACGGUCCAGACUCCUACGGGAGGCAGCAGUGGGGAAUAUUGGGCAAAGGGCGCAAGCCUGAUCCAGCCAUACCGCGUGGGUGAAGAAGGCCUUCGGGUUGUAAAGCCCUUUUGUUGGGAAAGAAAAGCAGCAGGUUAAUACCCCGCUGUUCUGACGGUACCCAAAGAAUAAGCACCGGCUAACUUCGUG